GAUAUUGGGCGUAAGCGUCCGCAGGCGGUCUUGAAAGUCUGUUGUUAAAGCGUGGAGCUCAACUCCWUUUCWGCAAUGGAAACUAGAAGACUAUAGUGUGGUAGGGGCARASGGAAUUCCCGGUGUARCGGUGAAAUGCGUAGAUAUCGGGAAGAACACCGGUGGSSAAGGCGCUCUGCUGGGCCAUAACUGACGCUCAUGGACGAAAGCCAKGGGAGCGAAAGGGAUUAGAUACCCCUGUAGUCCUGGCCGUAAACGAUGAACACUAGGUGUCGGGGGAAUCGACCCCCUCGGUGUCGUAACCAACGCGUUAAGUGUUCCGCCUGGGGAGUACGCACGCAAGUGUGAAACUCARAGGAAUUGGCGGGGGACAACAA
rnacentral:rRNA from 1 species